GGGGAGGGGUCCAAUUGGAACUUGGGCAUCUGAGUGCCAGAAAGAGGAGAGUGGAAAUUCCAACGUGUAGCGGUGAAAUGCGUAGAGAUGUGGAGGAACACCAGUGGCGAAGGCGACUCUCUGGUCUGUAACUGACGCUGAGGAGCGAAAGCGUGGGGAGCGAACAGGAUUAGAUACCCUGGUAGUCCACGCCGUAAACGAUGAGUGCUAAGUGUUAGGGGGUUUCCGCCCCUUAGUGCUGCAGCUAACGCAUUAAGCACUCCGCCUGGGGAGUACGGUCGCAAGACUGAAACUCAAAGGAAUU
rnacentral:rRNA from 1 species